AGGCUGAGGAGCUCUCCCCUCAGCGCUCCCUUGGACCUGCAGGUCACAGCAAGGAAUGCCAUAGAGAGAGGAUGGCUCUGGAAGGGUCACCUGGUCUUCAUCCCAUGGUGCCGAACUGGGGCUCUGCAGUGCCCAGGCACAGAAAGCAAGGGCACAGGAUGGCCAUGGACUCUUUACAGCCUGGGCCACGUGUCUGAUUCCACAGGAGGGACAGCGCCCACAGCCACCUUCUGGACCAUCAAGAAAGGUGAGGGUUGGGGGAACUGUGAGGGAUCCAUGAUGUUGUCACAGCUUUGAUGUGGGAUGCUUCUUCUUGCAGGUGCCUGCAGGGAGAGAUGCCGAAGAUGCCACCGUUGUCCACUUUCAAAGGGACAAGAAAAAUGGCAAAUCAUGAGAUACUUUUUCUAGCCACAAAUCAUGCUUUCCUCUCUGAUUUCUGCAAACGCUUCCCCUUGUUGUGCAGAACUGCAGCCCCUUUUUGCUGCUGCCAAAAUUGUGUGGUUUAUCCUCAGAAGCUCCAUAAAUCGUUCUAUCCGAAGAGCUGGAAGAACAUAUUUGAGUGUUUUAAAAAGUGUGGAGGGAGAAAAUCUCACCAACAAUUAUGAAGAAGAAAGAGGCCAUCUAGCAAGCAAGUGCUGCCCCAAAUCUGCUCUUAUUUUUUGCUAACUGUCUCCUGCCUGCUUCUCCAAUGUGCGCAGCUCCUUCUGGUGCAACUGGAGCCUCCUUGUGCAGGACUUGCAGCUGCAGCUGUAAUAACAGGGCUUUCUUUUCCCCUUCAAGACUCCUGUGAAGCAGAAGACCAACUGCAGAGCCCAAUAGGCUGCAGUGUGGGAAGGGCACUGGGAUUGGGUCGCAGCCACUGUGUAUCCCUGCAGAGGGCUCCAGUGACAUAACAUGGGGCUCUUUGAGUUUAUGGAGUUUCCUCUCCCGUUACAUCUAGCCAAUAAGAUAAAUACCUUGUUUAUGAAUGGACCAGCUAAAAUAUCUGUAAAUAUAAGUGUUAUAUCAAAAAGGUGUAUAGAGAUGAUUCACACAAAAACUUAAACUAUGUGAUGCAACCACGCAUGUACUCAUCUCUCCACCCACAGAUCUGUACACACAAGAACAGAUCUGUGUGCUGUUUGAUGCAUCAUCAAGCUCACCACGCUCUUGAAUCAGAGAAAUCAUCAAGUUAUGAACCAUUACUGAUGUGGCUUUAGGUGGAAGAAGCUCUGAAGAUGCCCAGGCUGGAUGGGUUUUUGUACCCACUGUGAGCCGCAAGCACAAAGAUUCUGUCACAGCUCCUCUGGACAGAUGGGCGCUCUCAGGGUGCAGUCAGAGGAAAGGAGUAUACCACCAUCACCUGGGAAGUCUAAGGAAAUCUUGUGUGCCUCUGUGUCACAGAGACUGGCAUUGUUCUGUCACCACAUCAGUGACUGAUUAAACAGCAGAACAAAAGUGAAAAUGGUAGCAAUCCCCGCAGUGGGCUGCACACCCCGCUAUGGUCUGAUUCUGUAGAAUGUGAAGUCUGUGCUUUCGUUUGUCAAAGGCUCCGUGUGGUUUUCAGGUUUCCCUAUCUCUUGCACAAUCUCAUGGCAGCUGCAUGAUUCUAUGUGGAAGAAAAAUUUUUUAAAAUGGCAUUUUAAUUUGUUCACAAAGGUCCAGAUAAGCCUUAAAUAUUCACAGGUGUGUGUGUCUGGGCUUAUCAGACUCAGCUCUCUUGCGUCUCAUGGGGGCAAAUGAGUACCUCUGUGGCAGACAGAUAUUUCUUCAGGUAAGUGUCUGUAUUACGUGGAUGGAUCAAGAAAAGAUGGAAUAUUGCACUCUGUGACACAGACACAUAGGAUCAAAAGCCAAGAACACAGAGGGAAAUAAAAUGGCAUAUAGCUAAAAAUUCUUUACUACUGACUGCGAAAUAAAUCCCUCUUGCUUUCUAAUG
rnacentral:lncRNA from 7 species